rnacentral:misc_RNA from 1 species
UCCGGUUUGGCACCGGCAGUCUCACUAGAGUUCCCGGCUUUACCCGCUGGUAACUAGUGACAAGGGUUGCGCUCGUUGCGGGACUUAACCCAACAUCUCACGACACGAGCUGACGACAGCCAUGCAGCACCUGUACAGGAGUCCCGAAGGAGGGCCGAGGUUUCCCCCAGCUUUCCCCUGCAUGUCAAGCCCAGGUAAGGUUCUUCGCGUUGCGUCGAAUUAAACCACAUGCUCCACCGCUUGUGCGGGCCCCCGUCAAUUCCUUUGAGUUUCAGCCUUGCGGCCGUACUCCCCAGGCGGGGCACUUAAUGCGUUAGCGCCGGCCCUCAGAGGGUCGCUCCCCCAAGGACCUAGUGCCCAUCGUUUACGGCGUGGACUAC